UACCACAUCCGUUAUCUGCCGAGAAGCGGCCUUCGGGUCAGAGCUCACCUUUUCCAAUUUUCGGAACCUUCCUUGUCAUACACGGCCUAACGCAACUCCUUACAAGUAUCUCCUUGCCGCACUCCCCGCCCAUCCAUCGACACUGGACUCCCACGACCGGCGUCGGACGCCGGACACUGCUUACCAUAAAUCACGGCGCGACAACGCUUAGAGAUAUUGACCGCGGAAAACAAACAGGUCUGGGCAUAACGGCAGCUGCGCCGUUUUCCUGUAUCGCUUCUUUGCGCUCCCUAAAGACAUCUAUCAUCGUCUUCGGAAAAUAGGUGCGAAAGGAAGCUCUAGCCGAACACCUUGCCGAGCAUAUUCAUCUGCGCGCGGGAGUACGUGUAGGCGUCGGCUACCGCAUAAUGUAUGAGGUCACUUUUUUUCCCAAGAGGGAUUGUGAUUUCGCGUGUGCAUGAGCUUUACAGAAAGGAGGUACGUGCUGAGAACGACAAAAGCUGCGACGGUGAGGAAAGUGAGAAUGCUGUUCCCUAUACUGAUUAUCUAGUUUGUAUAUUAAAAAGAGAGGCUCGA